rnacentral:rRNA from 1 species
GAUUAGCGCUGGCGGCGUGCAUAACACAUGCAAGUCGAACGAUGAAACUUUAAUGAACCCUUCGGGGAGAAUUAAAGCGGAUUAGUGGCGAACGGGUGAGUAACGCGUGAGUAACCUGCCUUACACAAGGGGAUAGCCUUUGGAAACGAAGAAUAAUACCCUAUAAAACCAUAAAAGCACAUGCAAUUAUGGUCAAAGUGAUAGCGGUGUAAGAUGGACUUGCGUCUGAUUAGCUAGUUGGUGAGAUAAAAGCCCACCAAGGCAACGAUCAGUAGCCGGCUUGAGAGAGUGUACGGCCACAUUGGGACUGAGACACGGCCCAGACUCCUACGGGAGGCAGCAGUGGGGAAUUUUGCACAAUGGGGGAAACCCUGAUGCAGCGACGCCGCGUGAUUUAGAAGGCCUUCGGGUUGUAAAAAUCUUUUGUAUAGGAAGAAAAUGACAGUACUAUACGAAUAAGGUCCGGCUAAUUACGUG